GAUGAACGCUAGCGACAGGCCUAACACAUGCAAGUCGAGGGGCAACGGGGAUAAAGCUUGCUUUAUCUGCCGGCGACCGGCGCACGGGUGAGUAACACGUAUGCAACCUGCCCGUCACAGGGGGAUAACCAAUGGAAACGUUGACUAAUACCCCAUAUAAUCAUUUUUCUGCAUGGGAAAAUGAUGAAAACUAUGGUGGUGACGGAUGGGCAUGCGGUGCAUUAGCUAGUUGGCGGGGUAACGGCCCACCAAGGCUACGAUGCAUAGGGGUUCUGAGAGGAAGGUCCCCCACACUGGUACUGAGACACGGACCAGACUCCUACGGGAGGCAGCAGUGAGGAAUAUUGGUCAAUGGGCGAGAGCCUGAACCAGCCAAGUCGCGUGAAGGAUGACUGCCCUAUGGGUUGUAAACUUCUUUAGUCUGGGAGCAAAAAGCGCCACGCGUGGUGUAUUGAGCGUACCAGAAGAAUAAGCAUCGGCUAACUCCGUGCCAGCAGCCGCGGUAAUAC
rnacentral:rRNA from 1 species